GCUCCAUUAGCUCAGCUGGUUAGAGCGCCGUGCUUAUAGUGCAACACAAACACUAUGUUAGAGUCACGCGGAUGUCGCCAGUUCGAUCCUGGCAUGGAGCA